rnacentral:rRNA from 1 species
CCUACGGGGGGCAGCAGUGAGGAAUAUUGGUCAAUGGACGAGAGUCUGAACCAGCCAAGUAGCGUGAAGGAUGACUGCCCUAUGGGUUGUAAACUUCUUUUAUAAAGGAAUAAAACGAGGCACGUGUGCCUUUUUGCAUGUACUUUAUGAAUAAGGAUCGGCUAACUCCGUGCCAGCAGCCGCGGUAAUACGGAGGAUCCGAGCGUUAUCCGGAUUUAUUGGGUUUAAAGGGAGCGUAGAUGGGUUGUUAAGUCAGUUGUGAAAGUUUGCGGCUCAACCGUAAAAUUGCAAUUGAUACUGGCAGUCUUGAGUACAGUUGAGGUAGGCGGAAUUCGUGGUGUAGCGGUGAAAUGCUUAGAUAUCACGAAGAACCCCGAUGGCGAAGGCAGCUUACUAAACUGUAACUGACACUGAUGCUCGAAAGUGUGGGUAGCAAACAGGAUUAGAUACCCGAGUAGUC